UAUUUUUAGUAAGUGAAAUAUUUUAAGUUGCACUAUUUCAUUUCUGUGAGUAAAAAAAAUUCUUGAAGUUAAGCAUCCUGACUCUGUCUGCAGGAGGAAUGUUUCUUGAACCUAGAGGCUCCUAUAUCAAGAGUAUGUGGUUAUGACACACCAUUUCCUCACAUUUUUGAACCAUUCUACAUCCCAGACAAAUGGAAGUGUUAUGAUGCCCUUCGAAAAAUGAUCAACUAUUGACCAUAUAGAAAAGCUGGAAGAUUUUGACUAGAUAUGGAAAUAUUUUUUUCUGAAUUUUUUUUUAUAUUUCCUCCGACUUACCUCUUUUUGAAAAGAGAGUUUUUAUUAAGUGAACCAUCAUGAUAUUGGCUGAAAAGUUCUACAUUCUAUUAUUAUAUUGUAACACACAUGUAUUGAUGAUUUUCAUUAAGAGUUUCAGAUUAACUUUGAAAAAUAUUCCACAUGGUAAUCUUAUAAAUUCUGUUUAAUUACAUCCGUAAAUAUUAUGUGUGUGAUAGUAUUCAAUAAA
rnacentral:sRNA from 1 species